GGCGGACGGGUGAGUAACGCGUAAGGAACUUGCCUCUUGGACUGGGACAACUGUUGGAAACGACAGCUAAUACCGGAUAUUAUGAGAUUCUCGCAUGAGAAAUUUAUGAAAGCUAUAUGCGCCAAGAGAGAGCCUUGCGUUCCAUUAGCUAGUUGGUGGGGUAACGGCCCACCAAGGCGACGAUGGAUAGCCGGCCUGAGAGGGUGAACGGCCACAAGGGGACUGAGACACGGCCCUUACUCCUACGGGAGGCAGCAGUGGGGAAUAUUGGACAAUGGGCCACAAGCCUGAUCCAGCAAUUCUGUGUGCACGAUGAAGGUCUUCGGAUUGUAAAGUGCUUUCAGUUGGGAAGAAGAAAGUGACGGUACCAACAGAAGAAGCGACGGCUAAAUACGUGCCAGCAGCCGCGGUAAUACGUAUGUCGCAAGCGUUAUCCGGAUUUAUUGGGCGUAAAGCGCGUCUAGGCGGAAAAAUAAGUCUGAUGUUAAAAUGCGGGGCUCAACUCCGUAUUGCGUUGGAAACUGUUUUUCUAGAGUACUGGAGAGGUGGGCGGAACUACAAGUGUAGAGGUGAAAUUCGUAGAUAUUUGUAGGAAUGCCGAUGGAGAAGUCAGCUCACUGGACAGAUACUGACGCUGAAGCGCGAAAGCGUGG
rnacentral:rRNA from 1 species